rnacentral:rRNA from 1 species
UACAGAGGUCCCAAGCGUUGUUCGGAUUCAUUGGGCGUAAAGGGUGCGUAGGCGGCGCGGUAAGUCGGGUGUGAAAUCUCGGAGCUUAACUCCGAAACUGCAUUCGAUACUGCCGUGCUUGAGGACUGGAGAGGAGACUGGAAUUUACGGUGUAGCGGUGAAAUGCGUAGAGAUCAUGAGGAAGACCAGUGGCGAAGGCGGGUCUCUGGACAGUUCCUGACACUGAGACACGAAGGCCAGGGGAGCAAACGGG